rnacentral:rRNA from 1 species
UACGUAGGGUGCAAGCGUUACUCGGAAUUACUGGGCGUAAAGCGUGCGCAGGCGGCUUUGCAAGACAGAUGUGAAAUCCCCGGGCUCAACCUGGGAACUGCAUUUGUGACUGCAUGGCUAGAGUGCGGCAGAGGGGGAUGGAAUUCCGCGUGUAGCAGUGAAAUGCGUAGAUAUGCGGAGGAACACCGAUGGCGAAGGCAAUCCCCUGGGCCUGCACUGACGCUCAUGCACGAAAGCGUGGGGAGCAAACAGG